ensembl:lncRNA
CACUGCUGCUUUUAAUAAUGCCACAGAAACUUACGAGAACCCAAACAAGUGAAAAGUGCUGAAAACGUUGAACUCUGUAAGAUUUUGAGAAUAAAUGAAACUCAUAGAACACUGUACAGAAUGUCUGGUUUAUUGGUUGUACUCAUACAUUUUUAAAAUUACUAUAUGCUUCGUAUCUAAAGACUCUCAGAUGAACUGUACUGUCUCUAAAGGCAGACAUAAGUAACGCCUUGAAUACAGAGCAACUCUCACCAGCAGUGAUUGUUUGACAAUUCAAUCUGAUGAACUCUGAAAAGUAAAUCUAUAAUUUAUAUAAUAAAGACUUUCAUAAUGCCACGGUUACUAAAGCAGGAUUUAACCUUUCAGGAGAAUUUGUGGUGAAGUUUUAUUCCAUGAGCUAUGUGCUCCUGAUGAGAGUUGCUUUGUUUUGCCAGAGCUCAGUCAAACUGCAGUUUAGUUUUUAUUUGAUAAUGUUAUACACCGGUGGAGGAACAACAGACACUAUCAACACAGUUGUGCUUAUCUUUUUUCAUUUUUUCUUUUUUUUCUGUCAAAUAUCAGUUUUUAACAUAAUCUUUUUCACAAGAACAGACUAAGUCAAAUCUGUUAUAAGUUUUGUAUACCAACAUGCUCACAAUGCUUCUGAACCAUUUUUUCUUUUUUUAUUUUCAUUUGUUGUUUUUCUGUAUGUGUGUGUGUGUGUGUGUGUGUGUGUGUGUGUGUGUGUGUGUGUGUGUGUGUGUGUGUGUGUGUGUGUCAGAUCAACAUACAUCAAAACCGACGCCCCUUUUUGUUUCGUACAGUAUCUGCCGGGUCUGCCAUGUUGUAUUAGAAUAUUAUGAUAUUCUUUGCGAUUAGCAGGCUUAUAAAGGCAGGAGGAAAAUAAAAAGACCUGCAGUCAUGUACACAGGCUUCACUUCACACAGGCAAGAAAAUCACAAACCAUAAUAGGUGCAAUCCAAAAUGAUCUCAGUCAACAAACAUAUAAUCAAUUCAUUCUCCCAUCCUUUACAUACGUCUGUCUGAAAACAAGAUUGCAGUCAUUCUUUAUCAAAAAAUUCACAUUUCUACUGAACUGAAAAUCACCUCUUGUGCUUCGAAGAUGAAAACUGACCAGACAAAUCUACAAAAACAACAAAUGCUUGAAUAAUGACAGACACCUUAUUUGUGACUGUGAUCUACGUGUAAGUUAAUUAACUUUCUUUCAUUUAAAAUACUGUGUUUCUGUAUUACAUUAUAUUUUUUUGUAAAUUGUGCAACAACGUCUUUAGUCUACUCUAGAAGGCCACCAGGUGUCUUGGUAUAUGUCUCCCUCUUUGUCCGUUCAGCAACGUUUCGAAUCACAGCUUGUGAAAAUCUGUGCUUGAAAAUGCUCUUAGGUUUUCAUGACAGUUGACCUUGUUGUUGAAUCAUCUCUAAGUAAGAAAAAAACGAUGUUUUUAAACUGAUGGGUAGAGUCAAGCAAACAGAAUCCAUAAAGUCACUUCAGCAUAGCUGAAUAUGGACAGCAAAACCCAAACUAUUGCACAUAUUAAAAUAUAUUAAACAUAUUAAAAAAUUACAAACGAUAUGCUAAAAACUAAAAGCUGGACCCUCACAUUACACAUAAACUAUGUUUGCUCUUGUGUUUUAGUUUGAUGAUAAUUGUACCAGCAAUUAAAAACACACAAUUUAUGGGUUAAAUGUGAAUCAGUCUUAAGUAUGCUACCUACUCUAAAAAAUUUAAAUCAGCCAGAGACAAAACUGUUUUUCUGUCUAUAUGUAUGCAUGUACGUUUGGUUCACACCAAGCAAACAUAUAGAAAGAUUUAUACAUAAAUUCUCUCACCUAUGUACGCUGUGAACUGGCUUUGUACUCAGCUAAUCUUGGACUGCCUUUCAUUGAUUAGCCAGACUAUGACAAGAAGUUGUGAUCUUCAGCUUUAUCUUCUGGGUGUUUACGUCCACAUGAAAAGAACAGUAUCAGAAAUUUAAGGUACGAUCAUAAACCUUCUAAUCUCACCCCAUACAACUCAAAUGCUACAAUACCUGAUUUAAAUUUGACAUUUUUCCACCUUUAAGGUCAUUUCCUUAGUUCCAGUACUGGUUUUAGAUCACUCCUUUGACUCUCCUAUCUGACCACUUGCAAUGUAUCCUGCUGUGAGUUCACAAUGUGCCAACAUCAAAUCAAUGUCAUUAAUCAAACACACAGUGUUGACGUCUUAGGUAUGCUCUGUCACGGUUCUGGGUCCGUUGGACCCAGUAUUUUGAGUUUAUUAUGUUUUGGUUCACUUUUGCAUCAUGGAUUAUUCUUUGUUUCUCUGGUACUUUGUGUUUCAGUUAUCUUGGUGUUUUGGAUUGUUUCUCAUUCUCUUGUUGUGAUGUUUAUUAUUAUUAUUAUUAUUAUUAUUAUUAUCAUUAUUAGAGUUUCAUGUUUCUAUUAUCCAUGUUUUAGGAAUGGUGGUUUCAUGUAUAGUUCAGUUCCAUGUUUCAUUUUCUGUCUCUGUGUUGAGUCCAUGUCUCUGAGUUGUGAUUCAUGUUUCCUGUUUUAUUGUGAAAGACUUUGUCUUAUGUUAGUGUGUGCAGCUUUGUUCCCCAUGUCUCGUUAGCCCUGAUCUCUCCCAGCUGUGUCUCCCUUCUGUGGCCCAUUUCCUCAUUACUACCCUGUGUAUUUAAGCCCUGUGUUUUCCCAUGCCCAGUGUCGCGUCGUACCCUCAGAUUAUGCCUGUGUGUUUUUGGUUUCGGUGUUCAGUCCUCACUUCAUGUUUUGUUUUCUGGCCAGCAAUAAAGCUGAGGUUUUUGAGUUGCAUUCCGUUUUCCGAGUCCUGCAUUUGGAUCCUCCUCUCUGCCUGCCCGCACACAGAGCCCUGACAUGCUCAGAACUAUGCUCACCAUUUUUUAACAUUGAUUGGGUUUUGUACUUUGUCCACUGGGGUUAGACGGCAUUGAGUUUUAACAAGUUCCGCAGUGCUGCCAAAACGAUGAUCUAUAAACUCAGCCAAAUUUAAAUAGGGGAUGGUUUGAGAAUGGCAAGGUUGUGCUAAGGAGUUGUGGGAUCGUAUGUUUGAAUGUAUAAUUUUUAAUCUGUGUCACCCUUUUUGUCAGGCUUUUAAUCCAUUAGACAUAGCGGCUUGAUAGGUUUUAUCCUAAAAUUUACCCGAAAAGAAGCCACACUAUCAACUCAAGUCCCAGUAGUUACCAGAUGGUCACUGCCCCAGGUCCCAGUCACACAGUCACACGUUUCUAGGCCGUGUGAGUGGGACCUGAGACUACCAUGACCCAAGACCUACUGGAGCAGUUUCUUGUGAUCUUCGGACUGUAUAUUCUUGGGGAUAAAAUCCUCAGUUUUGCUUGGGACAAAUGAUAAGUCAAGAACAUAAAAUUCUUUGAUGAAAAGCUUUUUGUUGUUGUUGUGUGGGUUUAGAACUACUGUCCUGCUGCAUUUUCCUGCAUCUGCUAAAGGGGAUUUAUACACUGUUCUUCUGAAAUGGAAAAAUGGAUGUAAACACCCUCAAAGUACUUUUAUAGUCACUGUUUCAUUUCAAAUCAAGUUCAGAGCCAAAACAGCAAAAACAUAUGACUAUUCUAACACUCCAUUGUAUUCUGGUUGAAAAUCAGCAUCAUAGUCAUCAGUGAUUGUGACACAGAUGAGUGUGCUAGAGAAGUCCAUUUAUGACACUGUUGUUUGGAAAAAAAACCCAAUAUAAAUAUGAGAUCUGUUAUAGAUAUAUCUUAUAUUUCCCUAAUCCCUGAUAGCCCAACGCUAAAUGACAAAACAAUAAAAACAAUAAUGGCUGUAUUACAUUAUUGUCAGUCUACUGCACAUUAAGAACAGAGUAGCAGCAAUGCCUCAUGGAUUUGCAUGUUAUAUACAGAGAGCAUAAUACAUUUUUCUGGUUAGGUAUGAUUUAUGGUGUUUAUUUACAUAUGAUAUGUAGCCUGGAUUAACAUAUUUCAACUUCAACGAAAAAGAUCAAUGACUUCAAAAUGAAAAUGUAAUAUUCCAGUAAUGUAGAAAAAUAAAUUAUAUUACUUGUAUUGACAUGAGGAGAAUGAUUAGUUUAUAUCUAGCACCUAUUGCAACCACUUACUCUAUACUAUAAUGAGCUUUAGCAGACAUAUGGUUAUGACUAUCCCUGGCACUCUUACUGCCACUUAACUUCUCUCACAGGAAAUACAUUAUAUGGGCAGAAUAAGUGCUCGACGGUGUAUUAAAUUAAAGGGCAUUUGAUAGAAAAAUAAGUGUAAUAAAACAUUUUAAAUCAUCCUUCUUUUUAACAUAUCAGGGAUUGUUUUAAAUGAACUGAUCUUUGACAAGUAUACAUUAUGCAUAUUUUACUCUUAGUUGUGUGUGCUUUUUUUUUCUUGCUUUGCAAAAAGCUGUGAUUGUUUAUAGAUCGCACUCCUCUGCACUUUUAUAACCCUCAAUGAUAAAUACAAGUCCAGCCAAGUUUGUGUAAUAUAAUUAUUUUCAUUUUCACCUCUG